CUGGCGGCGUGCUUAACACAUGCAAGUUGAACGGUAUGACAUGGAAGCUUGCUGAAGUGUCAUAUAGUAGCGGACGGGUGAGUAAUGCAUGAGAAGCUGCCAUUGGGAGGGGGACAACAGUUGGAAACGGCUGCUAAUACCCCGUAUGCCGGAAGGUGAAAGGGAGCGAUCCGCCCGAUGAGGUGCUCAUGUCCUAUCAGCUGGUUGGUGGGGUAACGGCCUACCAAGGCGACGACGGGUAGCCGGCCUGAGAGGGUGAACGGCCACACUGGAACUGAGAUACGGUCCAGACUCCUACGGGAGGCAGCAGUGGGGAAUAUUUGGGCAAUGGGGGCAACCCUGACCCAGCGACGCCGCGGGGUGGGGGAAGACGGCCUUCGGGUUGUAAACCUCUUUUGUACGGGAAGAAGGAAGUGACGGUACUGUACGAAUAAGUCCCGGCUAACUACGUGCCAGCCGCCGC
rnacentral:rRNA from 1 species